rnacentral:rRNA from 1 species
UACGAAGGGUGCAAGCGUUAAUCGGAAUUACUGGGCGUAAAGGGUGCGUAGGCGGUUUGUUAAGUCUGUUGUGAAAUCCCCGGGCUCAACCUGGGAAUGGCAAUGGAUACUGGCAAGCUAGAGUGUGUCAGAGGAUGGUGGAAUUCCCGGUGUAGCGGUGAAAUGCGUAGAGAUCGGGAGGAACAUCAGUGGCGAAGGCGGCCAUCUGGGACAACACUGACGCUGAAGCACGAAAGCGUGGGGAGCAAACAGG